rnacentral:lncRNA from 1 species
AAUGGCCCGCUGAAGCAUCUGAAUCUAUAGCUUCAUGCACAUGUCUCUUUAACAGUGGAGGAAGCAGAGGUUACCUUGAUCUAUGAUGUCACCAACUGACCAUACUUCAUUUUGUGACUUCACAGGCUUGAGAGAGGCAAAUAGCUAGAACAGUUUUACAGCAUUUUAGCCAUGUCUACUUAUGAACGGUAAGAUGGGUUCACAUCUGACACUAUAUCUGAUAUUAUAAUCUUAUCCUAUUUUUUGAUGUAACAUUGGAUAGGCUCCCAUAUCAUGCCCUGUCUUCAGUGCCAGUGACUACCUGAAAUGCUGUUUCAUCUAUAGUUGAAAUGAGACUUAACAGGUCUUUUAGCUAUGAUUUCUGGUAAACUGUGAGCAGUUGACAAGCUAUGAGCAACUCAAGGGCCAUUUUUGGUUUGGAUCAAAGGCCUCCAUCACUGAUAUUUAUCAUAAGGAACUGCCAAGAUACACAUUAAAGUGUACAAGUAGAGUUUUAUUU